UCGCGUUUCGCUUACCUGCACACAUGAGCAGAGGAGAAGCAGAGGGGUUUCACGUACCUUGCACUGAGCCCUGGGAGAGGCAUGACAGCACGGCACCAGCUGACAGCCGCCUCUGCUACCUUGUGGAGCCCACAGAGCUGCUUCAGCCACCUGAGCACUCUCCCUGACAGUCCCAGAUUAGAGCAGAAAGACAGCACAGCCUCCUUUCAGAUUCCUAAAACAAGAUGAAGUCAAAUCGAUCUGCAGCUGACAGCUAGGCCACCCUGCUGGACACUGACAUCAUGAAGCUGGCCAGUGCCAAGAGGAUGCAAUCAGAGUGAACAAGCUGGCCAUGACAAGAUCAUGCAGCUGUUCCUGGACAGCUUCAGACCAGCAUUGAUCCCAUUUGGGGAAAAUACUCCUUGGACCUCUUGAGCAAGACACUACAAGGCAAAGACGCAGCUUCCAAUGACAAGAUCAGAGUUUCACAUGAAUCAACAGGCAUUCUGCAUAGGGACACCAAGUGGAAGCAACAUGAACGAAGACUGACAUCCUUGCUACCCAGCAUUGUAAGAACAUACAAACUUCAAGAAAAUCACAGAAUCAUAGAAACGGGGUUGGAAAGGACCUACAGGAUCAUCUAGUCCAACCAUUCUCAUAUCACCAAUACUACCCACUAAGCUACUAAAUCAUAUUUUGUAUCACCUUGUCCAGGCACUUGUUGAACACCAUGAGGGACGGUGACUCCGUCACCUCCCUGGGCAGGCCAUUCCUGUGCCUGACCACUCUUUGAGAGAAAAAUU